CUACGGGAGGCUGCAGGCGCGAAACCUUUACAAUGCACGCAAGUGUGAUAAGGGGAUCCUAAGUGCUCAUGCAUAGCAUGGGCUUUUGCCAAGAGUAAAUAUCUUGGAGAAUAAGUGGUGGGUAAGACUGGUGCCAGCCGCCGCGGUAACACCAGCGCCACGAGUGGCAUCCACGUUUAUUGGGCCUAAAGCGUCCGUAGCCGGUUUGGUAAAUUUCUUGUGAAAUCGUCGGGCUCAACCCGACGGCGCGCUUGAAACACUGCCAGACUUGAGACCGGGAGGAGUUAGAGGUAUUCCAGGGGGAGCGGUAAAAUGUGAUAAUCCCUGGAGGAUCACCUAUGGCGAAGGCAUCUAACCAGAACGGAUCUGACGGUCAGGGACGAAGGCUAGGGGAGCGAUCCGGAUUAGAUACCCAGUAGUC
rnacentral:rRNA from 1 species